AACACAUCCCUUUCCUGCAAUUCUGACUUAAGCAGACAGUUCUACUGUGCCUGUGCAGCUCUUGUCCGCUGACCCACAGCAUCCACACAAAAUCCCCACCCAGUCAGACAUCCAAAGCAAGUCCUAAAGAAAAAUAUGCAUGUCCAAGAGAAAACAUGCACCAAGAGAGAAGAGCCACCUUUUCAGAACAACUAAUUAAAUGCUUUUGAACGGCGGCCGCACCAGGCGAGUGGGGCUGCACUGCUCUGCCUGUCCCAGUCAUUCCACAGCACCGCCUGAAAUCAUUCCUCCAUGCAACGUGGGAACAAACGCUCUGCUGGGAGGUGGGUUGGGGUGAUGCAGCCCUGCUGCGGAGCAGGUGCUCUGGUGCAGACACGCACUGAACUCUGUGAAGAGCCCUAUCCAAAUCAUACAAAUCGUUUUUCCACACUCAUGAGAAAAGUUUCAUGCUUAAAAUUCAGUAAUGUAGUUCAAGCACGUUCUACUCCACCUUCAAAGGAGCAUCUCAAGAAGUCAUCUAGAAAUCUCAAUGCUACUUGUAUUUCCAAGCUGGCUGGACCAGUGGUUAAACUAAGACAUUUUAUCAGACUAAGGAGAGUUCUACCAAUGCUUUGCAGCCCAACUAGAAACACAGGGCAACAUCUCCAGACCCCACAGAGAGGAAGGUGCAGGACCAGCUGAGUGUCACAGGCACAACAUCUGCUCAGGUGCCUCACAACAUUGUUUUUAUUUUGUUACUCUAAAGUCAGUCCCACUGUUUCCACCCAGAAAAAAGAGA